AGGAACAUGUGGUUUAAUUCGAUGAUACGCGAGGAACCUUACCCGGGCUUGAAAUGCAUCUGACCGGCCUUGAAAGAGGCACUCCCUUCGGGGCAGAUGUGUAGGUGCUGCAUGGUUGUCGUCAGCUCGUGCCGUGAGGUGUCGGCUUAAGUGCCAUAACGAGCGCAACCCUCAUCAUUAGUUACCAUCAGGUAAGGCUGGGGACUCUAAUGAGACUGCCAUCGUAAGAUGUGAGGAAGGUGGGGAUGACGUCAAAUCAGCACGGCCCUUACGUCCGGGGCGACACACGUGUUACAAUGGGUGGUACAAAGGGCAGCUACCUGGCGACAGGAUGCUAAUCUCGAAAACCGCUCUCAGUUCGGAUCGGAGUCUGCAACUCGACUCCGUGAAGCUGGAUUCGCUAGUAAUCGCGCAUCAGCCACGGCGCGGUGAAUACGUUCCCGGGCCUU
rnacentral:rRNA from 1 species